rnacentral:rRNA from 1 species
AACGCGAAGAACCUUACCUGGGCUUGAACCGCACAGGACCCUCCUUAGAAAUAGGGACUUCCCGCAAGGGACCUGUGUAGAGGUGCUGCAUGGCUGUCGUCAGCUCGUGCCGUGAGGUGUUGGGUUAAGUCCCGCAACGAGCGCAACCCUUACUCGUAGUUGCCACCCGCAAGGGGGAACUCUACGAGGACUGCUCCGGAUAACGGAGAGGAAGGUGGGGAUGAGGUCAAGUCAGCAUGGCCUUUAUGUCCAGGGCUACACACGUGUUACAAUGCGCGCCACAAAGCGUCGCGAACCCGCGAGGGGGAGCUAAUCGCAAAAAAGCGCGCUCAGUUCGGAUUGCAGUCUGCAACUCGACUGCAUGAAGCCGGAAUCGCUAGUAAUGGCGCAUCAGAACGGCGCCGUGAAUACGUUCCCGGGCCUUGUA